UGACUGUCCUACUGCUGAACAUCUAGUCUGGCUUUCAAGGCAUUGCAAGACCUGACUCCCUCUUCAAACCCUGCUUAUUUCCCCCUGAACCCUCUGAGCAGAUGCUCUGGUUGGCCUAUCCAAUAGUCUUCCCCAGCUCCAAUCCUUUUCUUCCUACUGACAGAGUGUGAAUUCCCACAGUUAAGGCUAAAAAUGCCAGAUACACACUUUUUCAGCCUUCUUUGCAGGUAGGGGUGGGCAGGGCCCCCAUUUCUGGCCAAUGAGGGGAGGCCUUCUGGUAAGGGGGGGUUCUGAUACCCCCUCAAUCAAAAGAGAGACACCUAUUUCCUGUCUUAGCAUCUGCCACUCCCUUGCUUCCUGCAAUUGGAUGUGGUUGAGUGGUUGUUUCUGGAGCUGCACUGGCCGUCCUGUGGCCUGAGGUGACAAAUCUGUGGAUUAGAAGCCACCAUGCUGGCAGAUGAUGGGAUGGAAGAUGACCGGACCUGCGGCUCUCGAUGGGACGGCUGAGCUGUUGCACCAGCGGAGCCCAGCUGCCCUAGGCCUCCCAUUACAGGCCGUCACAGGACACCAUCGGGGGCAGGCCAUGGCUGGCCUGGUUCACUCUUUCUCAUGACUGAUUCAUUCAUCAUGGUCAGGAUGGACUCCCCACUGGCCGCCACAUAUUCCAGGUUUCUGCAGACCUCAGGCUUCGGCUUCUCAUAUCCAACUCCUGAUACCCAUUCAUUUUUCUCUGGGCUUUUCCAAUUUGUGUACACUCUUUAAGGACCAGUUUGAGUAUCGACUUUCCUCUUCCAUGAAUCUUUGCAUACGGCAAUUGGCUACAUUAACUUCUACUUUAAGUACUGAUAUGUUUUCUAUUUUGUGACAAUUCAUCUUCCUUCCCAUCUAGAUUUUAAGCACCUUAUACCACCUUUGUUUCAUUGCAUCUCCCAGGAUAGUGAUGGGAUAAAUAAGUGCUCAAUAAAUCACUGACAAUUGAUGGUGUGAUUGAUCGCUGAUCUAGGACAACUACAACUGAAGCAACAUUUUAGGUCUUCAUUGAUUUGCUUUGCAAUUUCCUUCAUAGAUGACUGGAACAUAAAUCUUCAGUUAGGGCCAGUUCAAAGUUUUCCUGACUCAAAAUAUUGCAUUCAAGAUUGGUAUUUUAUUAACCAGAGUUGAUCAAUUCUGUCCUCAGAUCUGUGUAGAUCUCCAGAGAGAUAGAAAGGAAAAUGCUAUUGGAUGGAGAAAAAUUACUAAAAUAGGAACGAGAACAAUAAAACAACAUGAACACUAGCUGAUAAAGACCCUGAAUGAAAAGGACCGAAAUGAAAUCAGUUGAACUAAGACCGGAGACGGGGGGUCUUCUGUCCUCCGCUCCCUUCUCCAACCAUCCCCUCUGCAAUCUCCCACACUGCAGGCAAAGUUCACGGAAGUCUGUUUAAAAGACUUGUGAACUUUAUAGGGUAAAUGCAUUCUACUUAUAUAUUUAAGUCGUGGGAGUUUCAAGAUAGCUCAAAAUACUUGCUAAUUUUCUAACUGGGGUCUGAAUUUUCUGGUUCUUACUGAGUGAACUUUUUGUGCCUACUUAUAUUCUGUUACCUGAGGCAAGGGUCAUCUUGCUAUGCUUUUAUAUCUUUUUCUUAAUUCUCGCCACAUGUUGUGUCUCUUAGAUCCAGAUUUCAGUUUUAAAUUUGGAACCGGGGGAAGGGAGCUCACAUUUAUUGUGGGCCUACCAUUUGCCAGCACUUUAUAUAAGAAUCACAUUUCAUCCUUCCAGCAGCCGUGUGAGGUGGAUAAUAUUGUUCUCAUUUUAUGGAUGAGAAAACUGAGGCUCCAAGAGGUUAAAUACCCAGCACGAAGCAACUCUGGCGUUAAUCCCCACGGCAGAAACUUUUCAGUUCUAUGUGUCAGAAAUUCAGCUCACACGGGCUCAGCAAAAGAGUGGUUUCCUGAUUCCCAUAACUGAGAGAUGUCGGUACUUCCGACCCAGCAGGACCUAGAGGCUGAGAUGCUGUCCUCAGGACUCGGCCUGGCUCUGUUUCACGCUCCCUCUGUCCCCAGGUGGGCCCUUCCUUACCUCGUAGGGUCCAGAAGGCUCCCAGCACUCCCAGUUGACAUCUCACAUUCUCAGCUAUCCCAGCAGGAAGAGGACUUCUCUCAAUGUUCCACCAAAGGUCCAGAACAGAAGCUCACUGGCCUGGCUUAGACACCAUGUGCUGUGGUCUGAGUGUUUGUGCCCCCGUCCAAAUGUAUAUGUCAAAACUUCACCCCCUAUGUAAGAGUAUUUAGGGGCGGGGACUCUUGAAAGGUGGCAGUGUCAUAAGGGUUGAGGGUUGAGCACUCAUGAAUGGGAUCAGUGCCCUUAUAAAAGAGGCCGCAGUGAACUCUUUUCCCUAUGUGAGAACACAGUGGAAGGACAGCCGUCUAUGAACCAGGAAUCAGGCCCUCACCAGACACCAAAUCUGCUGACAUCUUGAUCCUUAGGCUUCCCAGCCUCCGGAAUUCUCUGACCCAGGGACAUGCUCCUCCUUGAGGAAGCGCACUGCAGGCAGAUCCAUCAGACCUACCGUCAGCUCUGAGGUGCCUUCUCUUAGUCCUUCGUCUAUACAGAUUGUUGGCCACCAUAUUUCGCCCAGGCUGCAGUGGAAGAGCCCUCGGGCUCUGGAGCCUAUGACCUGGGUGAGUGUCUCCUCUUAAUACCACCUCUCAACUCUUGACCUCCGGCAAGUUACUUAACCUCUCUGUGCCUCGGUUUGCCUUAUCUGUAAAUAAAUUGAGGUAGGUGAAGCCCUUAGCACAGUGCCAGGGGCAUAUGCAGUGUGAAAUAAAUGUUAGCUAUUAUUAUUAUUACUUCCUCUGGGCAUGGUGAAAAUGUAAUGAGCUAAUGCACAGAAAGCACCCAGAACAGUGACCAGCAUGGAAGUUCAUGCUUAGUCAAUGUUUGUUGCUGUUAUACCUUAGAAACCAGCAGGACAUACCAAUUGUCACUUCCUGGCCAGGCUCACAACCUUAGCUGUCUGUUCAAUCAACCUGACGAAUUUUUAAAAUAUACCCAUCAAUGGGCCUCAUCCUAGCUCAGUGGGUCUCAGCUUUGGCAGCUCAAUGCAAUCACUUGGGGAGCUUUAAUAGCUAUGGAUAGCUAAGCUACAUUCCCAGAAACUCUCACAGAAAUGGCCUGUAGUGUCCUGGCCGGUGAAAUGUGUCAAAGCUUCCCAGGGGUGGCCAGAGCUGAGAACCCUGUCUUAGGAGGAUCUAAUUGGAAGAGAGGACAUCAUAGAUAAUAUAAUAGUGACAUCAUAGGUGACAGAGGAAAUGCCCGGUGGCUCUGAGACCAGCAGAGAGGUGCAGGCAACUCUCUGGGGGUCCAAGACAUGGUCCCUCGAGGGCCUCCCGGUGGGUAUUGAGCCAAGGAGCAGCCAGUGGUGAUCACAGACUCCAACCAAGGGCUGGGCCCCUCCAGAGUGAGCAGAGCCCUGCUCAGCCAGCUCCUGCAAAUAUCAAUCCUGCAGGAAGGGUUGUGGGGAGAAGACACUGUUCCAACCAACUGACCUGCUGGAUUGGAGGAUCUAGAAACCUACACGUGACUCUGGCCAAGAUAAAAUGCUUCAAGAUUCCUGGACUGGGAAUCUCACCAUCGGUUCCCCUGGUUCUCAGACCCUUGGGCAUGAGCUGAAUUGCACCAUGGCUUUCUGUUUGUCUGGGGAACGCUGACUAAUACAAGGCAUCUCAACUUGGGCAUUACUGAGGCUGUAGGGUCACGGUAAGCCCUGAAAUUGCACAUGUCUGUGCACUGUUAUGGGGAGAAGAUCCACAAGGUCACUUAAUCCUCCAAAAGGUGAAGAGCUGUUGCCUUCAGGAGCCCCAGGGAGAAAAACCAGGCUUGAGGGUUUUAGGUAAACCAGCCGCAGAGCCCUGAACCCUAUCUUCACAGAGCACUGAUUCCAGCCUCUCCCACUGACAGAAACUGUUGGGUUUAUGAUUUAUGUAAGUGUCCUAAUCGCCACUGAAUUGAUCAAGGCAAAGGGGUAUUUAAGGAAUGAAACCUGAACUGCUCUGCAAGGUGAGGGUUAGGAAUAUCUUAUACUUCCCUGCAGCUGGAGCAUGCAUGAAGUUAAUUAUUGCAUACAACAGCAUUGUAAAAUUUGGAGAAAGAGCAUAGGGCUCCAAGAAGUAUUGUCCUCAAAGUUACAGAACUGGUGACCUAAGACAGAAGCCACCCAUUAACCACUGGACCUUGGACAAGUUGCUGUCUUCAGGAUUCAGAGUCCUCAUCUAUAAAAUGGGAUUAAUAGGGUUGUUGUGGACGUUCAAUCAUAUAAUGUGGACAUUCAAUGUGUAAAGAGUUUACAGAGUGAAAGAUGAAGUCACUGCUUGAUAACUGUUAGUUUUUAUUACACUACUGAUAAUUACUUUAUUAAAUGUUUCUGUCAGUGAUAGUUGGGGAAAGGAGAAAUAAUAGAAGAUACUAUUAGAACUAAGCCUACAAUUGAUAUGUAACUUGCAGCUUGCCCUGCUGAGCAAAAAGGCAUAAGGAUAACAAUUCUUAGAACCAAGGCUACAAUUGAUACGUAACUUGUAGCUUGCCCUGCUGAGCAAAAAGGCAUAAGGAUAACAAUUCUGCCAAGGGCUCCUUCUGCGCCCCUCCUCACAUGCACUAACUGAAUUGCUCCUCUCAACAACCCAUCCUGUGAUUGAGGAGGCUGAGACUCAAAGAGAUUAACUAAUUUUCCCAACUCACUCCUCAGUUUGGAAAAGUGGAGGCACGACAUUAAUUGGACUCUGUCGUAAACCGCUGGUCUCUGUCUCUGGAGCAGGGGUGUGUCUGGACCACAGAGCAUGGGCAGAGAGGGCCUGCUCCUUCAUCAGUGAUGAGUUGUGUUGGGUGAGAGUACUCUUGGAUGCACAGGUCACCAGACUCAAUUCCCCUCCUUUCCUCAUUAGAAGCUUCCGCUGAAAUCUACACCUUGGCAGGAUGCAGAGCUAGGAAGUUCAUAAAUCAGAGAAUCGCUGAGUGACAAACUGCAAAAAAGGAAGUGACACUUCCCUAGGAGAUGUGGAGAUGCUGUUUGUGAACAAAAAAGCGAGAGGGACUUGGCCCCAUGUCUGCAAAGAGACAGGUGUGCUUCUGCAGGGGGGCCUGCGCCGACCCAGGUCUGCAACCCUUGUGUUACCUAUCCAUUGCUGCGCAAGCUCGGCUUUGGCCCCACAGUGCACGCCUAUCCUGUCCCCCAACCUCAUCACUCCCAGCUGUGUCUGCUCACUGCUUCCUGUCACCCCGAGUAUGCAAUUCAGACUCAGUGUCCAUGAGGCCCUCUUAUCUGGGAUUGACCAUUCUCCCUCCUCUUCCCAAACUACUUGCACCGGCCACAUCGGCUUCCAGAGCUCUGCUGGGAAACACAGUGUGCUCCUGCCUCAAGGGUUUGCUCAGGUGUUCCCUCUGCUGCAGGGCUCCUUCUCCAGUUCUUUAAAGGGCUGAUUCCAUCCCAUGGUUCAGAUUUCAGCUCAGCUCUUAGCUCUUCAGAGAGACCUUCCCUGACCUCCCAAUUUAAAUUAUACUCUGAAGCCAAUCACCAUGACGUUGACCUUUGUAAUUUUCUCCAUUAAAGCCUUCAAAAUCUUCACCUGCAACUAUUUCAUUAUUUCUUCCUCCUCUGCCAGAAGGUAAACUUCCAGAGACAGAGGCCAGCCUGUCCUGAUCACUAGGUGGUCCAGAGUUAGAACAGCAACUGGGUCGAGUGGGCCCUCUGAAUCCUCACAA
rnacentral:lncRNA from 1 species